UACGAAGGGGGCUAGCGUUGUUCGGAAUUACUGGGCGUAAAGCGCGCGCAGGCGGUUUCUCAAGUCAGUGGUGAAAGCCCGGAGCUCAACUCCGGAACUGCCAUUGAAACUGUGAGACUUGAGGACGAGAGAGGUGAGUGGAAUUCCCAGUGUAGAGGUGAAAUUCGUAGAUAUUGGGAAGAACACCGGUGGCGAAGGCGGCUCACUGGCUCGUUUCUGACGCUCAGGCGCGACAGCGUGGGGAUCAAACAGG
rnacentral:rRNA from 2 species